rnacentral:rRNA from 1 species
AUUGAACGCUGGCGGCAGGCCUAACACAUGCAAGUCGAGCGGAUGAAGGGAGCUUGCUCCUGGAUUCAGCGGCGGACGGGUGAGUAAUGCCUAGGAAUCUGCCUGGUAGUGGGGGAUAACGUCCGGAAACGGGCGCUAAUACCGCAUACGUCCUGAGGGAGAAAGUGGGGGAUCUUCGGGCCUCACGCUAUCAGAUGAGCCUAGGUCGGAUUAGCUAGUUGGUGGGGUAAAGGCCUACCAAGGCGACAAUCCGUAACUGGUCUGAGAGGAUGAUCAGUCACACUGGAACUGAGACACGGUCCAGACUCCUACGGGAGGCAGCAGUGGGGAAUAUUGGACAAUGGGCGAAAGCCUGAUCCAGCCAUGCCGCGUGUGUGAAGAAGGUCUUCGGAUUGUAAAGCACUUUAAGUUGGGAGGAAGGGCAGUAAGUUAAUACCUUGCUGUUUUGACGUUACCAACAGAAUAAGCACCGGCUAACUUCGUG